UGGUUAUUCCCUGCUAUCUUGGCAUUGGUGCGCGUUAACUUCAGAGGCUUCUUUCAUUGCGGAAGAGAGUGAGAGGCGAUGUGCAGCGAUUCGUCAUGGCUGGGGAACUGCGCGGCCUGCUUCUCUCUCUGCGCAAAGCCCGAUUCUCCGGCUAUGGAAGACGCCCCCCAAACAGAUAAUCGCAAUGUCGGCAAGUAGAUGGGGUGCGCGGUUUGCGGGCGCGGAGUUCGAUACAGAUUUUUGCGAUAAAAAAAACCAUCCCAUCCUACCUGGAAAAUUUAGGGAAAUUAUGCUUUGAAUAACUAAAACGUGUUAAUCAAAGGCAUACAAGGACGGCAAAGGUACAUUCUCUACUGCAGUUGACAAAGCACCUCUGUUUCAUUGGAACCAUGAAGUAUCCAUAUUCAGGAUUUUGCUACUGAGUUGAAGCGGCACUGUGAAAACAAGAUGAUCUUUUGAUCUUUCUGGUCCCAAGGUAUUGCAUUUUGACUGAGGAGGCACUGGCUGUCCAAGUAGCUGUUUUUCUAGGGAAAGUGAAGAAACAUUGCUCUGUGGAACAACAUAUCCUGCUGAUCUCUAGAAAUGGUUAGAAUAAAACAUGGCUUCUUGCAUUUUUUCUUUGGGGAAAAAAUGAGCCAGAUCAUAUUCUUGAUGAUCACAGUAAAAUGUAACCUAUGGAAAUAACCUGUUGCAGGUUUUAUUGGAAAUGUGUUUGCAUUUGUCAAACAUCCACGCUGUGUAGCUCGUUGCAUGAGUUAAAAUAUGCAACCUCUUUUAUCAUGAAGUGUUCAGUGUUCUUAUAACCUUUUCACAAGUGUUAAAUACAUUAAAUUUGCAAAGGAUUCUGUGAAAUAAAAUUAAUAUCCAUUCUCUA